GAUGAACGCUGGCGGCGUGCCUAAUACAUGCAAGUCGAGCGAACAGACGAGGAGCUUGCUCCUUUGACGUUAGCGGCGGACGGGUGAGUAACACGUGGAUAACCUACCUAUAAGACUGGGAUAACUUCGGGAAACCGGAGCUAAUACCGGAUAACAUGUUGAACCGCAUGGUUCAACAGUGAAAGACGGUCUUGCUGUCACUUAUAGAUGGAUCCGCGCCGCAUUAGCUAGUUGGUAAGGUAACGGCUUACCAAGGCAACGAUGCGUAGCCGACCUGAGAGGGUGAUAGGCCACACUGGAACUGAGACACGGUCCAGACUCCUACGGGAGGCAGCAGUAGGGAAUCUUCCGCAAUGGGCGAAAGCCUGACGGAGCAACGCCGCGUGAGUGAAGAAGGUCUUCGGAUCGUAAAACUCUGUUAUUAGGGAAGAACAAAUGUGUAAGUAACUAUGCACGUCUUGACGGUACCUAAUCAGAAAGCCACGGCUAACUACGUG
rnacentral:rRNA from 1 species